CCUACGGGGGGCAGCAGUGGGGAAUAUUGGGCAAUGGACGCAAGUCUGACCCAGCAACGCCGCGUGAAGGAAGAAGGCUUUCGGGUUGUAAACUUCUAUUAACGGGGAAGAGCAAGGACCGUUACCCCUUCAAUAAGCCACGGCUAAAUAAGUGCCGGCAGCGGCGGUAAUACGUAGGGGGCAAGCGUAUUCCGGUUUUACUGGGGGUAAAGGGCGGGCAGCCGGAGUGGCAAGUCAGAUGUGAAACCCACGGGCUCAACCCGUGAAUUGCAUUUGAAACUGUUUGCCUGGAGUGUCGGAGGGGUAAUCGGAAUUCCUUGUGUAGCGGUGAAAUGCGUAGAUAUAAGGAAGAACACCAGUGGCGAAGGCGGAUUACUGGACGACUACUGACGGUGAGGCGCGAAAGCGUGGGGAGCAAACAGGAUUAGAUACCCUAGUAGUC
rnacentral:rRNA from 1 species